CCAUAACCUCAGUUUUGGAUUUCUCGUUUACACAGUUGAAAAGGUCUGAGAUAAUUCUACAGAAGAUCCUUCUUGUACCAGAUCUUCCAAAAUGCUCUACUUUUGAAAGUCUCAACGACAAUUUAGAGAGUUCAAGCAAACAUUAAACUUGUCGACUGUUAAAGAGAACUUGCUCGAGAAAAUGAAACAACAGAUGAAAAAGUCCUUAAAACUGCCUUCGCUGCAACUCAAGACGGCUUCCUUUCUCAUGUGAGAAGGGCAUUUGGUAUUACACCAUUAAUUGCGAAAAAUGGGUGUUGCUGUUUGGUUGGUGUUAUCUGGAAAAGAACAUUAUAUGUUGCUAACCUGGGGAAUAAUUGUAAGACAAGUAUGUUGGAGGUGAUGUUGCAACACAACACUCAAAGAAGAAGACCUUUCAAAAUUUCAAUUCAGAAGAGCCAGUCUUAGUUCUCCACUACUGUCUUCAACAAAAUGUUGUUUCUACAACCAACCAACAGUGUACCCCUCUUGUACCAAUAACUUUCAGCUUUCGCACUUUUUGUACCAACAAAUGAUUAUAUGUAGUACUUUUACAGGCUAACAAUAUAACAAUGUAAUCUUUGUUCCACAUAUUAUGAAGCAUAACUAUUUGU